UGGGGAAUAUUGGACAAUGGGCGCAAGCCUGAUCCAGCAAUGCCGCGUGUGUGAAGAAGGCCUUCGGGUAGUAAAGCACUUUUGUCCGGAAAGAAAUCCUCUGGGUUAAUACCUCGGGGGGAUGACGGUACCGGAAGAAUAAGCACCGGCUAACUACGUGCCAGCAGCCGCGGUAAUACGUAGGGUGCAAGCGUUAAUCGGAAUUACUGGGCGUAAAGCGUGCGCAGGCGGUUUUGUAAGACGGAUGUGAAAUCCCCGGGCUUAACCUGGGAACUGUAUUCGUGACUGCAAGGCUAGAGUAUGGCAGAGGUUGGUAGAAUUCCACGUGUAGCAGUGAAAUGCGUAGAGAUGUGGAGGAAUACCGAUGGCGAAGGCAGCCCCCUGGGCCAAUACUGACGCUCAUGCACGAAAGCGUGGGGAGCAAACA
rnacentral:rRNA from 1 species